GAAGACGGAGGAUGCAAGUGUUAUCCGGAAUCACUGGGCGUAAAGCGUCUGUAGGUGGUUCAAUAAGUCAACUGUUAAAUCUUGAGGCUCAACUUCAAAAUCGCAGUCGAAACUAUUGGACUCGAGUAUAGUAGGGGUAAAGGGAAUUUCCAGUGGAGCGGUGAAAUGCGUAGAGAUUGGAAAGAACACCAAUGGCGAAAGCACUUUACUGGGCUAUUACUGACACUGAGAGACGAAAGCUAGGGUAGCAAAUGGG
rnacentral:rRNA from 1 species